GGAGAGAUGCGAGAGUGGUUGAAUCGGCACGCCUGGAGAGCGUGUAUGGCGGCAACGUCAUCGCGGGUUCGAAUCCCGCUCUCUCCG
rnacentral:tRNA from 1 species